ACUCCUACGGGAGGCAGCAGUGGGGAAUAUUGGACAAUGGGGGAAACCCUGAUCCAGCGACGCCGCGUGAGUGAAGAAGUAUUUCGGUAUGUAAAGCUCUAUCAGCAGGGAAGAAAAUGACGGUACCUGACUAAGAAGCCCCGGCUAACUACGUGCCAGCAGCCGCGGUAAUACGUAGGGGGCAAGCGUUAUCCGGAUUUACUGGGUGUAAAGGGAGCGUAGACGGUAUGGUAAGUCAGAUGUGAAAGGCUGGGGCUCAACCCCGGGACUGCAUUUGAAACUAUCAAACUAGAGUGUCGGAGAGGUAAGUGGAAUUCCUAGUGUAGCGGUGAAAUGCGUAGAUAUUAGGAGGAACACCAGUGGCGAAGGCGGCUUACUGGACGAUAACUGACGUUGAGGCUCGAAAGCGUGGGGAGCAAACAGGAUUAGAUACCCUGGUAGUC
rnacentral:rRNA from 1 species